rfam:Myotis lucifugus cont2.2185, whole genome shotgun sequence.
GCUAAACUAUUUUUGCGAUGUGUUCCUAAUAUGUAAUAUAAAUGUAUUGGGAACAUUUUGCAUUCAUAGUUUUGUAUC